rnacentral:rRNA from 1 species
UACGAAGGGUGCAAGCGUUACUCGGAAUUACUGGGCGUAAAGCGUGCGUAGGUGGUGCGUUAAGUCUGUCGUGAAAGCCCCGGGCUCAACCUGGGAAUGGCGAUGGAUACUGGCGCGCUAGAGUGCGGUAGAGGAGAGUGGAAUUCCCGGUGUAGCAGUGAAAUGCGUAGAGAUCGGGAGGAACAUCAGUUGCGAAGGCGGCUCUCUGGACCAGCACUGACACUGGAGGCACGAAAGCGGUGGGGAGGCAAACAACGG